UUGAGGGAAGGAAAUAAAGCUAUUAUUAUAAAUUGUGAAUAAGGCUUAGGAAAAUCAGAGUAUGGCACAAUAUCAACUUCAGACUCAAGGAGAGCAUGGGUCCAUUUGCUUGCUCCCACGAUGGGGUUUGGGAGAGCACCUUGGUAAAGAUAAACCCCCUGACUGACUUCCUUCUCCUUUACUUAGUCUCUUGUGGUGCCCUCAUGCUUAGAAACGAAUGUGCUGAAGGGUGAGGAGGUCCACCUGUGUGAGGUUGAAGGAAACACAGAAAGGACAGAAGGGCAAUGAAACAUCAAGGACUCCUAUUCCUCUCCCUGUGUCAAUAAGGGAUCACAAGACUGGGUGCAACAGGGUGCUCAGCUGCGAUGCCAUCACUCAGGAGGCUCGAAACUUGAGGCCAGCUUGCAACCCUGUCACGGGAGACAAAACAAAAAAAGAGCAAAACCAAACAAACAAACAAACAAACAACUAACCCCCCAGAAUCAUGUGUAUUUUGCUGAUGGAGCUUUGGUAAAAAUAUCUGUAAUACAUUUUUUAAAUAAACUUAAAAAACUGGAUUUCCCCACUCCCAGACAUGGGCCUUUUCCAGUUUGAUUUUAGUUUCAGUUUCCAUAUAGUGAGGCAAUAUUAAUAACUACAGAUUCGCAUUGUCAGCAUAAGAGUGUAACACACACCUUUGCAAACUACACCGUGCCGUGUGCACCCUCAGGUGGCCCUCCCAGAUCUUUGUUCUUCGCCACAGUUUGUAUGUCUGCCCCGGUGACUAGUCUGUGUGAUGUAAAUGAGGCACUCCUCAUUUUCUUAGUAUCUUGACUGCGGGGGGAAAAUUACAGUCAUUAAUGCACACUAUUAAAUUAUGUCAAACACUAAACUCAAAGUUUCUCCUGAAUACCAACUAGGCUUUGGUUGAAAGGAAAAGCCGAUGUAGAUUCAGGGUUGUAAUUGGAGUUCUCUG
rnacentral:lncRNA from 1 species